CCGAGGGGCAGAGCCCACGCCAAGCCUUCCCCGUCGGUGCUCCCUGCAGCUGCUGGAGGACCAGAGCCGAACGGCCGAGCACCUGCGCUGGGCCCUGCCCUUCCUGCAGAGCCCACAGAAGCGCCUGCGACAGGCGGCCGUCAGGUUGAUUGGGGUUGCCGGAGUGCUCACGAUGGGGCAGAAGGAGGAGCUCCAGGUCCUCAGUCAGGUCCUUGAAGCCCUGAGGGAAUUCGAGUGCCCCUCCUUCAUCAACCAAUUUAUCCAGCGGAAGUUCGAGGCAAGAGCUGCCGAACUUCGUCUGCAGGAUCGGAAGAACCCGAGUCCUUCGGCAACCCCGAGUUCCCAAUGCAGAUGAGACCACCUGCAGAGCACAGGGGACCAACUGGAACUCCAGGCACAGCUCUUGCUGGUUACAGCUGAGCCUGUGGGAAGCUCCGGGAGCUCCUGUCAUCUCCCUCCCUGAUGGCAGCUCCCUCCCUCCCUGCUUCCCUCCCUCUCUCCAGUCCCCAGGCCCUGCCCAUCCCCUUUUUUGCCUCCCAGUUCACCCCUUUGCUUCGCCUUCCCUUAAUAAACAGUUUGGCUUUGUCACUUUACCCACGUGUCCGUGGAGCUGAAGCGGCACAAAUCCUGAGCCCGGGGACACGC